rnacentral:lncRNA from 1 species
CCAUGUCUGCGCCCGGGGCCUCCAGUGGCUCGCUCGCCACACGGCCGUCGAGGCUCAGCUCCCUGGGCUCGCCCGUCACACCGACAUCGAGGCUCGGCUUCCCGGGGCUCACCCGUCACACCGCCAUCGAGGCUCGGCUCCCCGGGGCUCGCCCGUCACACCGCCAUCGUGGCUCGGCUCCCCGGGGCUCACCCAUCACACCGCCAUCGAGGCUCAGUCUCCAGGGCUCGCCCGUCACACCGCCAUCGAGGCUCAGUCUCCAGGGCUCGCUCGAGGCUCAGUUUCCAGGGCUCGCCCGUCACACCGCCAUCGAGGCUCGGCUCCCCCGGGCUCGCCCGUCACACCGCCGUCGAGGCUCAGCUCCCCGGGCUCGCCCUGCUGACGCGACAGCACCGCGACAGUGGUGGCGCCGCGGAGAUGGCGGAGAGGAACUUCCGCUCGCUGUCGCUGACUGGACGACCAACGCACGCAUCGAGCACUCAGUCUGCACCCGCGCUUCCCUGGGGCCCUCAAAACUGUGCCUGCGACGAGGUGUCACAUGGCGACGGAGGUGGAACCAUGCCGACCCCCUCUUCUGUGAGCGCAGGGCGGCGACUGGGGCGGCACCAGGAAGAAAGAUGGCGGAUGAGGGACUUCCGCCCGCCCGCCCGCCGGUGCGCAGGUCCCAACCGCUCGCAGUCCCCACAGCCCCACAGCCUUCACCAUUGCUCCCGAGGUUGGCGGGCCCACAGCUACAGAGUGCUCACGCAUUGAGUGACAGAUAAGCCGUGCGUUCUCCGUCUGACCGAGGAGGGCGAAAGGGCGCGCUCCAACCAUCCCCCUUCCCGGCUCGGCGUCUCUGCUUGGGGGAGACCACCCAGCUGCCUGGAGAAGAUGCCUUUCCUGCAGAGUUUGCUCCCAGCUGCUCUCUCGAGACAAAUCCGGCGUCCGUCUCUACUCAGUGCACUUUUCUGGUUGCUGAUUCCCGGAGAUGAAGGGGCUCAGGAAAUCCCAGGCCUAGUGUCCCAUAGAGACAGUCCUUUCCUUCCGAGAACAAAUGGAUUUUCGGGGGAAGUGGGAGGUGUUUGCCACCUGCCCGAGGGGUUUGGGUUUUGUUUUGUUUUGUUUUGUUUUGUUUAGAGAUCUCUAUUCGGUGAAGCCAGAAACUCACUCACUCACUCUCUGUCUCUG